rnacentral:tRNA from 1 species
GCCUAGGUGGUUCAGUUGGUUGAGUGUCUGACUUUGGCUCAGGUCAUGAUCUCACGGUCUGUGGGUUCAAGCCUCUCAUUGGGCU